CGAUGAUGGGAGCUUGCUCCUGGAUUAGUGGCGAAACGGGUGAGUAACACGUGAGUAACCUGCCCUUUAACUCUGGGAUAAGCCUGGGAAACUGGGUCUAAUACCGGAUAUGACUCCUCAUCGCAUGGUGGGGGGUGGAAAGCUUUAUUGUGGUUUUUGGAUGGACUCGCGGCCUAUCAGCUUGUUGGUGAGGUAAUGGCUUACCAAGGCGACGACGGGUAGCCGGCCUGAGAGGGUGACCGGCCACACUGGGACUGAGACACGGCCCAGACUCCUACGGGAGGCAGCAGUGGGGAAUAUUGCACAAUGGGCGCAAGCCUGAUGCAGCGACGCCGCGUGAGGGAUGACGGCCUUCGGGUUGUAAACCUCUUUCAGUAGGGAAGAAGCGAAAGUGACGGUACCUGCAGAAGAAGCGCCGGCUAACUACGUGCCAGCAGCCGCGGUAAKRCGUAGGGCGCAAGCGUUAUCCGGAAUUAUUGGGCGUAAAGAGCUCGUAGGCGGUUUGUCGCGUCUGCCGUGAAAGUCCGGGGCUCAACUCCGGAUCUGCGGUGGGUACGGGCAGACUAGAGUGAUGUAGGGGAGACUGGAAUUCCUGGUGUAGCGGUGAAAUGCGCAGAUAUCAGGAGGAACACCGAUGGCGAAGGCAGGUCUCUGGGCAUUAACUGACGCUGAGGAGCGAAAGCAUGGGGAGCGAACAGGAUUAGAUACCCUGGUAGUCCAUGCCGUAAACGUUGGGCACUAGGUGUGGGGGGACAUUCCACGUUUUCCGCGCCGUAGCUAACGCAUUAAGUGCCCCGCCUGGGGGAGUACGGCCGCAAGGCUAAAACUCAAAUG
rnacentral:rRNA from 1 species